AGCUAGAUAACCGAAAGUAACAAGAAUCCCAUUACGCUCCUGAAAGGCAUCAAGAUCCCCAACACAUAUCCCCCAUAAUGCACCACCCCAUUCUACCAUUCACAGCAAAACAAGCAAAAAAAUGGCCGUCAUCAUAGGACAAUGGGAGCAGAAGAAAAAGUCAAACUACCAACACCACCGUGACAGAAUGCUUGCAAAAUGAGACUGAAAAACAGGGAGAGGAUGAGAGGUUGCUGUUGACUCUGACUCCCUCUUCUCGCCCUCCUCCGUAUCGCCUCUCCCCUUCUCCCCUCCCUCGCUUCAUCCUCAGCUGCCUUCCCCAUUCCCCUGUACCGCGAGACGUAGCCCACGCCACCAUCUUAGGACGACGCUCGCUGGCAUGAAAUGGAAGUGAGGACCAGAGAGAGCAGGCAAAUAAUGGUCCAGAACACUGAUAGAAGGCAGAAAGAACAGCGAGCAGUAAUCCAUUGGGAGAAGAAAAGUUGCCCACAAACUACCAACCCAUCCCUAGUAUUUGCAAUGGAACAGGCCCAUUACAACAAUGUUUGUCCACUAUACUCCGAAUUGUGCCCCAACAUUUGAGGUGACGUGUGGUUGGACCUCCGGCCUGGGUUUUGUUAUCCAGCAAGGGCCAAUCUGGAUUGGUUUUGUUUCCUUUCCUAAGCCAAUAAGAAAGUGGGUUGGUGGCGUGGAAAACAAGAGCAAAUAUCUCAGGAUCCAAGAUGAACAGAGAAGCAGUGAUUCUUGGAAACACUGUGCUAUGAAUGAGAUACAUUACAUGUGCUGUGUACCUACAGUAUUUGCUUGCAGCCUCAAUAACAUCUACACAAAACAUUAAGAACACCUGCUCUUUCCAUGACAGACUGACCAUUUGAAUCCAGGUGAAAGCUAUGAUCCCUUAUUGAUGUCACUUGUUAAAUCCACUUCAAUCAGUGUAGAUGAAGGGAAGGAGACAGGUUAAAGAAGGAUUUUUAAGCCUUGAGAAAAUUGAGACAUGGAUUGUGUAUGUGUAACAUUCAGAGGGUGAAUGGGCAAGACAAAAUAUGUAAGUGUCUUUGAACGGGGUAUGGUAGUAGGUGCCAGGCGCACCGGUUUGUGUCAAGAACUGAAACACUGCUGGGUUUUUCACACUUAACAGUUUCCUGUGUGUAUCAAGAAUGGUCCACCAGUCAAAGGACAUCCAGCCAACUUGACACAACUGUGGGAAGUAUUGGAGUCAACAUAGGCCAGCAUCCCUGUUGAACGCUUUUCGACACCUUGUAGAGUCCCAUGCCCAGACGAAUUGAGGCUGCAACACAAUAGUAGGAAGGUGUCCUUAAAUGUUUUGUACACUCAGUGUAUGUUACAUGUGAGGAAAUGUUCCUUGCAAUACAGAUUCUUAAGUGCAAACAUUUAUAUAAUAGCAUAGAGCACUUUACUACUACUACUACUACUACUACUACUACUUUAAUUUAAAGUGAUUAACAAUGUAUGAAUAGAGUCCAUGGUGUUGCAUGGGAAUGUUGUAUAACAAGCUGUAUAAAUAACAUAGACCUACCUAGAUCAUUACGGUUAGAAUUUUAGCCCAUUUUUAUGUUUGUUUUAUUAUUUACUAGUUGCUAUGACUGACAGAUACAUGAAUGUGAGACCCACGGCAGCAGUGAAGAAUACUGCACUGCGAUUAGAUGGCUCCGUGUGUCAUAUGACACACAGGCGAAUGGGAGAGCUGUUGUCUUUAUACUCUAUGCAACUGUUUUUGGUACCAAAUAUAUUGGGCAAGCCGUCAACUGGAUUAUUUUUGGGCGAACAAUCUCAUGAAAUAUUAUGCUGUUUAUUCAGUUUUCUCUCACAGUGUAGUUUUUUUUUUUACACUCAAUCUGCCAAUUUAGGAUGUAUGUGUGUGUGUGUGUGUGUGUGUGUGUGUGUGUGUGUGUGUGUGUGAGAGAAAGUGAGAGAGAGAGAGAGAGAGAGAGAGAGGGAGAGGGAGAGAGAGAGAAAGUUAGACAUUACAGAUGAACAUAACACAUUUGAUUUAUAAAACAAAUUGUGGAGAGACAUUUUAGUUAGAAUUUUUCAAUAACAGAAUUGAAUAUGCUGGCCCUAAGCCUCUGCCAACGCAAAUCAGUGUAGGAAUUACACAUCUAAUAUUCUUGAUGGCAGAGCUCUGUUUGAUCAGCAGUGCGGUUUAUAGGGAGUAAGCUAGGCUGCACUGGCAGAACAUACUAAACCACUAAAGCUUUCCAAGUAGGCUUUGAAUGCAGUAGCCUGGCUUUCCCUAGCAAACCACAUCAGCGUAAUACAAGGUACUUUAGAGUAAGACAUGAUAAAUAUAGAGAUUUCAAAGGCUUCCUUCAUUUCCUGUCCUUGACAUUAUCGCAUACACGCGCACACACACACACAAACACACACACACACAAUGCACACACACACACGAUACACAUGCGAGCAAAUGCAAUAAUGCAAGCACUAUCAUAGACUAGUUUGUUUUAUAUACAUUUUCAGAAAGUGCCAUAUUUUUAUUCCAAUUGAUAAUCUAUGCAAAUCUUUGAAGUAUUUUCUUUAGCAAUCUAUUCGGGUGCUUGUACAAUUGAGUUGAGUUGGUCUGAAUUUGUAAAUGUAUUAUUUUGAUAAUCACAAUGCUAUAGUAUUACUUAUCUGCCUGGAUAAUCUUGAAAUUAAAAAAAUUUGUGGUCGCUGAAGUUAUUCAAUAAUGAUAUGUUUCUUGUUUUGUUUUGCACCAAGAUGAAAUGUCUAUUCAGAUAUUUUGAAGCAACCGGUGUUGUUUGUUAUAUGCAAUCUAAUAUGUAUUAUGUAAUGCUAGAAUGCACUGAAUGAACCACGUGUGCCUUUGUAUGAAAAACAAACUGUCUUGUCAUGGAUUAGUAAUAAAAGUUUACAUUGAAAACAAACAGAAAA